rnacentral:lncRNA from 1 species
GUGGCAUUUUGGCUCACCAGAUUGACUUCUACUGAUUGUUUCGGGUGCUCAUCGGGACAGAACCAGACAGUACCAACACCGGAAGAUUAAAAUAUCAAAUCGAGGAGAACCAAACCUAUCUAAAUGAGUUCCAUUUAAGACUGUAAUGAUUUGCGUUUUGGAUUUCCUAAUUCUCACAAGGAGUGUGGGUAUCGAAUCAAGGGAGGACUGUGGAAAGUGUCGUAAUGAAAAGGAUUGA